ensembl:lncRNA
CUUUUUUUUUAAAGAGAAUUAAAUCGUUUAUUGAGUACGCACGAUAAUGGAUGAUACACAAGCUUCAUUCCCAUCUGUUAUUUUAUCUGAUACCAUUACUCAAUUUUGAUAUUGCAUAGGGUGUGCCAACAACCAUUUUAUAACCAAAUCGUGAUCUUGCUUGGAUGACCCUUUCGGUAGUGAAACUCAUUAAGUUACAACAGUAACUGGCAGUUUAGCAACACCAAGGUUUUUGAAGACAAUGGCUUCCCCACCCAAGCAACCAUAAAUAAAUUCCAAAUGGAAUUUGGCACCACCCUGAAGGAAUUCUAACUUCACACUGUUGGGGAAGUUUACCAAGAUGGUUCAGAGUAGACUAACUUUACGCAGCACAUUUAAAGAAAAGACACAUUUAUUCAGCGUCAUGAUCAGACUUUUACAUUUAGCAAUCAACAGCAUGGGUGAAAAGGUCUACAGUAAAACCCUUUGUUGGAAUGCUUUACACUUUCUGCAGAACAGAACUAAAAUAACCUGUUAUACAAUUAGUCACAGAUACAGUCCUGGAGCUUUUGCCCACACACAUGAGUAUUGUCUAAAACAUGUCUUCUUUGUAGCAGCUAGGCCCUGCCAACCACUGUGCUUGGCUGAGUUUACAAAUCUGUUGUAACCUGUUGCUUCCCUGUCACUUCUCUGGCUCUCCUCUCCUGCUAAGCUUUGUUUCCUGGCUGUAAUUAGAACCUCCUGUCACUGCCAUAGCUACUGCUGCUGCUGGAACCUCCGUAGCCACCUUGGUUUUGUGGUUUAGCAAAGUACUGGUCUCCACCACCAUAAGGGCCAGAGCUCCUGCCUCCAAAGUUUCCUCCUUUCAUUGGUCCAAAAUUUGAUGACUGGUUGUUGUAAUUGCCAAAGUCAUUGUAGCUUCCACCAGCUCCAAAAUUGCUUCUAUCACUGCCAAAUCCAUUACAGCCAUCCCCACUGCCACCAUAUCCACCACCACCACGGCUGCCACCAGAGCCACCACGACCACUGAAGUUCCCUCCUCAACCAAAAUUGUCAUUGCCACCAAAACCACCUCCAUGACCACCACCAAAGUUUCUGGAACCACUUCGACCUCUCUGGCUGAACGAAGCACUAGCCAUCUCUUGUUUCGACAGAGCCUUUCUUACUUCACAGUUGUGGCCAUUUACAGUAUGGUAUUUCUGAAUAACAAUCUUAUCCACAGAGUCAUGAUCAUCAAAGGUGACAAAAGCAAAUCCCCCCUUUUUUCCACUGCCUCUGUCAGUCAUAAUUUCAACCACUUCAAUUUUCCCAUACUGCUCAGAAUAAUCUCGUAGGUGAUGUUCUUCAGUGUCUUCUUUAAUACCACCAACAAAGAUCUUCUUCACAGUUAAGUGGGCACCUGGUGUCUGAGAAUCUUCUCUUGACACAGCUCUCAGGUUCCACAACUCUUCCAUCCACCUUGUGUGGUCCUUCCUAUCCACUUCCUCCACAGGGGCGUAUGUGACAAACCCAAAGCCUCUGGAUCUUUUGGUGUUUGGAUCUCUCAUCACCACACAGUCCGUGAGUGUUCCCCAUUGCUCAAAAUGGCUCCUCAGACUCUCGUCGGUUGUUUCGAAGUUCAGCCCUCCAGUGAAGAGCUUCCGCAGCUGUUCCGGCUCCUUGAGGGACUCUGACUUAGACAUGACGGCAGGGUGACUAGAGCGUUCAGCGAUGCUUCCUCGGCAGCGUCAAAGAGCAGAAAGG